rnacentral:tRNA from 1 species
GGCGCUAUAGUGGAAUUGGUUAUCACGCCAGACUCUCAAUCUGGAGACUGCGAGUUCAAGCCUCGCUAGCGUCA